CCUACGGGAGGCAGCAGUGGGGGAUAUUGCACAAUGGGCGGAACCCUGAUGCAGCGACGCCGCGUGUGUGAAGGAGUGCUUCGGGAUGUAAAGCCCUAUCGGCGGGGAAGAAGGCAGACGGUACCUUACCAAGAAGCCCCGACUAACGCCGGGCCAGCAGCCGCGGUAAAACGGGGGCUGCGAGCGUUAAUCGGACUUACGGGGCGUAAGGCGUUCGGAGGCGGUAUGUCAAGUCAAGGGUGAAAUCCCCGGGCUCAACGUGGGAACUGCAUUUGAAACUGGCAAGCUGGAGUGUGUGAGAGGAGAGUAGAAUUCCAGGUGUAGGGGUGAAAUCCGUAGAUAUCUGGAGGAAUACCAGUGGCGAAGGCGACUACCUGGCACAUAACUGACGCUGAGGAGCGAAAGCGUGGGUAGCAAACAGGAUUAGAUACCCGAGUAGUC
rnacentral:rRNA from 1 species